rnacentral:rRNA from 1 species
UACGGAGGGUGCGAACGUUGCUCGGAAUCAUUGGGCGUAAAGCGCACGUAGGCUGCGAGGAAAGUUGGGUGUGAAAGCCCUGGGCUCAACCCAGGAAGUGCAUUCAAAACUACCUUGCUUGAAUCUCGGAGGGGGUCAGAGAAUUCCCGGUGUAGAGGUGAAAUUCGUAGAUCUCGAGAGGAACACCAAUGGCGAAGGCAGCUUCUUAGUCCAUUCCUGACGUUGAGACACGAAAGCGUGGGGAGCAAACAGG